rnacentral:rRNA from 1 species
AUACGUAGGGUGCAAGCGUUAAUCGGAAUUACUGGGCGUAAAGCGUGCGCAGGCGGUUUUGUAAGACAGUGGUGAAAUCCCCGGGCUCAACCUGGGAACUGCCAUUGUGACUGCAAGGCUGGAGUGCGGCAGAGGGGGAUGGAAUUCCGCGUGUAGCAGUGAAAGGCGUAGAUAUGCGGAGGAAAACCGAUGGCGAAGGCAAUCCCCUGGGCCUGCACUGACGCUCAUGCACGAAAGCGUGGGGAGCAAACAGGAUUAGAUACCCUGGUAGUCCACGCCCUAAACGAUGUCAACUGGUUGUUGGGGAUUUAUUUUCUCAGUAACGAAGCUAACGCGUGAAGUUGACCGCCUGGGGAGUACGGCCGCAAGGUUAAAACUCAAAGGAAUUGACGGGG